GCCUACACCCACUUUCACGGACUGGUCUGGAAACUCAAACGACUGCUGAACAAACUGCCACUGGGCAAAUCCAAGCUGGCCUCCUACACCGCCGCCCUGUGGCUGAUCCGGGAAUCCGUCGCCGACAAGAUGGACAAUCCCACACUCCUCGAAUCCGAAUUCAUCGCCUAUUUGAAAAAUGAACAUGGCAUCACGGAAGAUGGGCUGUUCGAAGAAAUGAUGGAUCAUCUCCAGCACACCGAGGUCGGGAUCGCACCGGGCGAUUACCGUCUGAUCACGGACGAAACCCACGCACU
rnacentral:misc_RNA from 1 species